GUGUCAGCAGCCGCGGUAAUACGAAGGGGGCAAGCGUUAUUCGGAUUUAUUGGGCGUAAAGGGCGUGUAGGCGGCUUGGGAAGUCUGGUGUGAAAACGCUACCGCUUAACGGAGCGAGCGCGCUGGAAACUCCCAAACUUGAGUGCGGAAGAGGAGAGCAGAAUGCCUGGUGUAGCGGUGGAAUGCGCAGAUAUCAGGCAGAAUACCUGAGGCGAAGGCGGCUCUCUGGUCCGUAACUGACGCUAAGGCGCGAAAGCGUGGGGAUCAAACGGGAUUAGAUACCCCGGUAGUCC
rnacentral:rRNA from 1 species